rnacentral:rRNA from 2 species
AGGGUGCUAGCUUGCUAGAACUUAGAGACAGGUGCUGCACGGCUGUCGUCAGCUCGUGUCGUGAGAUGUUGGGUUAAGUCCCGCAACGAGCGCAACCCACGUAUUUAGUUGCUAACGGUUCGGCCGAGCACUCUAAAUAGACUGCCUUCGUAAGGAGGAGGAAGGUGUGGACGACGUCAAGUCAUCAUGGCCCUUAUGCCCAGGGCGACACACGUGCUACAAUGGCAUAUACAAUGAGACGCAAUACCGCGAGGUGGAGCAAAUCUAUAAAAUAUGUCCCAGUUCGGAUUGUUCUCUGCAACUCGAGAGCAUGAAGCCGGAAUCGCUAGUAAUCGUAGAUCAGCCAUGCUACGGUGAAUACGUUCCCGGGUCUUGUACUCACCGCCCGUCACACCAUGGGAGUUGAUUUCACUCGAAGCCGGAAUACUAAACUAGUUACCGUCCACAGUGGAAUCAGCGACUGGGGUGAAGUCGUAACAAGGUAACCGUAGGAGAACCUGCGGUUGGAUCACCUCCUUUCUAG